GCCAGGCGUGGUGGUGCAUGCCUGUAAUCCUAGCUACUUAGGAGGCUGAGGCAGGAGAAUCACUUGAACCUGGGAAGCAGAGGUUGCAGUGAGCCAAGAUCAAGCCACUGCACACCAACCUGGGUAACAGAGUGAGACUCUGCCUCAA
ensembl:misc_RNA Metazoa_SRP Metazoan signal recognition particle RNA